rnacentral:rRNA from 1 species
GGACGUGCUAAUCUGCGAUAAGCGUCGGUGAGGUGAUAUGAACCGUUAUAACCGGCGAUUUCCGAAUGGGGAAACCCAGUGUGUUUCGACACACUAUCAUUAACUGAAUCCAUAGGUUAAUGAGGCGAACCGGGGGAACUGAAACAUCUAAGUACCCCGAGGAAAAGAAAUCAACCGAGAUUCCCCCAGUAGCGGCGAGCGAACGGGGAGGAGCCCAGAGCCUGAAUCAGUGUGUGUGUUAGUGGAAGCGUCUGGAAAGGCGCGCGAUACAGGGUGACAGCCCCGUACACAAAAAUGCACAUAUUGUGAGCUCGAUGAGUAGGGCGGGACACGUGGUAUCCUGUCUGAAUAUGGGGGGACCAUCCUCCAAGGCUAAAUACUCCUGACUGACCGAUAGUGAACCAGUACCGUGAGGGAAAGGCGAAAAGAACCCCGGCGAGGGGAGUGAAAAAGAACCUGAAACCGUGUACGUACAAGCAGUGGGAGCCUCUUUAUGGGGUGACUGCGUACCUUUUGUAUAAUGGGUCAGCGACUUAUAUUCUGUAGCAAGGUUAACCGAAUAGGGGAGCCGAAGGGAAACCGAGUCUUAACUGGGCGUUAAGUUGCAGGGUAUAGACCCGAAACCCGGUGAUCUAGCCAUGGGCAGGUUGAAGGUUGGGUAACACUAACUGGAGGACCGAACCGACUAAUGUUGAAAAAUUAGCGGAUGACUUGUGGCUGGGGGUGAAAGGCCAAUCAAACCGGGAGAUAGCUGGUUCUCCCCGAAAGCUAUUUAGGUAGCGCCUCGUGAAUUCAUCUCCGGGGGUAGAGCACUGUUUCGGCAAGGGGGUCAUCCCGACUUACCAACCCGAUGCAAACUGCGAAUACCGGAGAAUGUUAUCACGGGAGACACACGGCGGGUGCUAACGUCCGUCGUGAAGAGGGAAACAACCCAGACCGCCAGCUAAGGUCCCAAAGUCAUGGUUAAGUGGGAAACGAUGUGGGAAGGCCCAGACAGCCAGGAUGUUGGCUUAGAAGCAGCCAUCAUUUAAAGAAAGCGUAAUAGCUCACUGGUCGAGUCGGCCUGCGCGGAAGAUGUAACGGGGCUAAACCAUGCACCGAAGCUGCGGCAGCGACACUAUGUGUUGUUGGGUAGGGGAGCGUUCUGUAAGCCUGUGAAGGUGGCCUGUGAGGGUUGCUGGAGGUAUCAGAAGUGCGAAUGCUGACAUAAGUAACGAUAAAGCGGGUGAAAAGCCCGCUCGCCGGAAGACCAAGGGUUCCUGUCCAACGUUAAUCGGGGCAGGGUGAGUCGACCCCUAAGGCGAGGCCGAAAGGCGUAGUCGAUGGGAAACAGGUUAAUAUUCCUGUACUUGGUGUUACUGCGAAGGGGGGACGGAGAAGGCUAUGUUGGCCGGGCGACGGUUGUCCCGGUUUAAGCGUGUAGGCUGGUUUUCCAGGCAAAUCCGGAAAACCAAGGCUGAGGCGUGAUGACGAGGCACUACGGUGCUGAAGCGACAAAUGCCCUGCUUCCAGGAAAAGCCUCUAAGCAUCAGGUAACAUCAAAUCGUACCCCAAACCGACACAGGUGGUCAGGUAGAGAAUACCAAGGCGCUUGAGAGAACUCGGGUGAAGGAACUAGGCAAAAUGGUGCCGUAACUUCGGGAGAAGGCACGCUGAUAUGUAGGUGAAGCGACUUGCUCGUGGAGCUGAAAUCAGUCGAAGAUACCAGCUGGCUGCAACUGUUUAUUAAAAACACAGCACUGUGCAAACACGAAAGUGGACGUAUACGGUGUGACGCCUGCCCGGUGCCGGAAGGUUAAUUGAUGGGGUUAGCGGUAACGCGAAGCUCUUGAUCGAAGCCCCGGUAAACGGCGGCCGUAACUAUAACGGUCCUAAGGUAGCGAAAUUCCUUGUCGGGUAAGUUCCGACCUGCACGAAUGGCGUAAUGAUGGCCAGGCUGUCUCCACCCGAGACUCAGUGAAAUUGAACUCGCUGUGAAGAUGCAGUGUACCCGCGGCAAGACGGAAAGACCCCGUGAACCUUUACUAUAGCUUGACACUGAACAUUGAGCCUUGAUGUGUAGGAUAGGUGGGAGGCUUUGAAGUGUGGACGCCAGUCUGCAUGGAGCCGACCUUGAAAUACCACCCUUUAAUGUUUGAUGUUCUAACGUUGGCCCGUAAUCCGGGUUGCGGACAGUGUCUGGUGGGUAGUUUGACUGGGGCGGUCUCCUCCUAAAGAGUAACGGAGGAGCACGAAGGUUGGCUAAUCCUGGUCGGACAUCAGGAGGUUAGUGCAAUGGCAUAAGCCAGCUUGACUGCGAGCGUGACGGCGCGAGCAGGUGCGAAAGCAGGUCAUAGUGAUCCGGUGGUUCUGAAUGGAAGGGCCAUCGCUCAACGGAUAAAAGGUACUCCGGGGAUAACAGGCUGAUACCGCCCAAGAGUUCAUAUCGACGGCGGUGUUUGGCACCUCGAUGUCGGCUCAUCACAUCCUGGGGCUGAAGUAGGUCCCAAGGGUAUGGCUGUUCGCCAUUUAAAGUGGUACGCGAGCUGGGUUUAGAACGUCGUGAGACAGUUCGGUCCCUAUCUGCCGUGGGCGCUGGAGAACUGAGGGGGGCUGCUCCUAGUACGAGAGGACCGGAGUGGACGCAUCACUGGUGUUCGGGUUGUCAUGCCAAUGGCACUGCCCGGUAGCUAAAUGCGGAAGAGAUAAGUGCUGAAAGCAUCUAAGCACGAAACUUGCCCCGAGAUGAGUUCUCCCUGAGACUUAGAGUCUCCUGAAGGAACGUUGAAGACGACGACGUUGAUAGGCCGGGUGUGUAAGCGCAGCGAUGCGUUGAGCUAACCGGUACUAAUGAACCGUGAGGCUUAACCUUACAACGCCGAAG